rnacentral:tRNA from 1 species
GGGCGAUUAGCUCAGUUGGUAGAGCACCUGCUUGACGUGCAGGGGGUCAGCGAUUCGAGUUCGUUAUCGCCCACCA